GCAGGGGGCCUGGGCAGGUGGGAACAGUUGCUGGGAGAAGUCACGUUGAACUCAGUACCCAGUUUGGACACACAGAUGAUGUCUCUACGCUGCGUGCCAGAGCCACAUUCUGAGGAGCACUGAUACAGAGGAAGGGGUCCCAAGCUGCAGGCGCGCAUGUCCGGGGGACGGCUUCCUGCUGCACAGCUCUGCUCACCGGUCCCUGCUCCUGCUCCCACCUGGCCCGCCCCGUGGGCCUCCCCGCUCCCGAGGCAGACCACAGACCGGCGCUGGAUCCCUGUCCCACACUCGGCGGAGCACUGUUGAGAAGCCACACAGAGCCCCUGAUGCCCCGCACCCUCUCGGCUUCCUCCGCCACCUCCCACCUCCGCAAGGGAAGGAGCCCCUGGCUUCUCUCUGCUUGGCCCAUUUGCUGUGCUCAACGGGGGUGUGGAAGGCUGAACCAAGAAACCAAGACUGGAACAGGGACCGAAGACUCGGAGAAUCUGGAGAGCUCACCGAGAU